rnacentral:sRNA from 1 species
GCUGGGUGUGGUGGCACAUGCCUGUAAUCCCAGUCGCUUGGGAGGCUGAGGUAGGAGGAUGGAGAUUCGAGUUCAAAGCCAGCCUCAG